rnacentral:rRNA from 1 species
GGCUGUCCGAGUUGUAAUCUAGAGAAGUGCUUUCCGCGUUGGACCGUGUACAAGUCUCUUGGAACAGAGCAUCAUAGAGGGUGAGAAUCCCGUCUUUGACACGGACUACCAGUGCUUUUGUGAUGCGCUCUCAAAGAGUCGAGUUGUUUGGGAAUGCAGCUCAAAAUGGGUGGUAAAUUCCAUCUAAAGCUAAAUAUUGGCGAGAGACCGAUAGCGAACAAGUACCGUGAGGGAAAGAUGAAAAGAACUUUGGAAAGAGAGUUAAACAGUACGUGAAAUUGUUGAAAGGGAAACGCUUGAAGUCAGUCACGUUGGCUAGAAAUCAACCCUUCAUUGAAGGGUGUACUUUCUGGCUUUACGGGUCAACAUCAAUUUUGACUGUUGGAUAAAAUUCAAUAUUUAUGCAUUUUCGGAUGUAUAGCCUUUGAUUGCAUACAACAGUUGGGAUUGAGGAACUCAGCAUGCCGCAAGGCCGGGUACAUUGUGACCACGUACAUGCUUAGGAUGUUGGCAUAAUGGCUUUAAUCGACCCGUCUUGAAACACGGACCAAGGAGUCUAACAUGCCCGCGAGUGUUUGGGUGGUAAACCCGAGCGCGUAAUGAAAGUGAAUGUUGAGAUCUCUGUCAUGGAGAGCAUYGACGCCCGGACCAGACCUUUUGUGACGGUUCCGCGGUAGAGCGUGUAUGUUGGGACCCGAAAGAUGGUGAACUAUGCCUGAAUAGGGUGAAGCCAGAGGAAACUCUGGUG